rnacentral:rRNA from 1 species
AGAGAGAGACAUGCGCGCAUAUCAAUAAGCGGAGGAAAAGAAACUAACAAGGAUUCCCUUAGUAACGGCGAGUGAAGCGGGAAGAGCUCAAAUUUGAAAUCUUCAAGGUUUACCUUGACGAGUUGUAGUUUAAAGAAGUGUUUUCUGCUGAAGUUUUGGUAAAAGUUCUUUGGAAUAGGACAUCAUAGAGGGUGAGAAUCCCGUAUUUGACCAUUAUUUUCAGCUUUGUGAUACACUUUCAAAGAGUCGGAUCGUUUGGGAAUGCAGUCCAAAAUGGGUGGUAAAUUUCAUCUAAAGCUAAAUAUUGGCGAGAGACCGAUAGCGAACAAGUACCGUGAGGGAAAGAUGAAAAGAACUUUGAAAAGAGAGUUAAACAGUACGUGAAAUUGUCAAAAGGGAAGCGUUUGACACCAGUGUUGUUUUCUCGAAAAUCAAUUAAAAAUGGCUCGAUUUUGUAUUGCUGAGACCUUAAAAGCUCACUGUACAUUUUUCGUGUCUUUUUUAAUGCACUUUUCGUUUAACAAGUCAACAUCAGUUUCUUUUGUUGUAAAAGGGUCAUUGGAAGGUGGCUUUCUUUUCGGAGAAAGUGUUUAUAGCCUUUGGCCUCUGCAAUCGAAGAGACUGAGGUCUGCAGCGUAGACUCUUCGGGGUUAGAUACAUUUGUGCUAAGUUAUAGCUUUUUAUAGACAACUUGUUGACUAUAAUUAGUCUUGUAGCUUACUCGCUUAUGCUAUUUUACCUACGCUUAGGAUGUUGAAGUCAUCGUAUCGCGC